GUCUUGUUCAUGGAGGGCCUCCGCCUACUUUCCUCUCCACAACACUUUUUGACUGCUUGGCUGCAGGCAGUCAUACAGCCAAGCCAGUGAUGGAGGACAUUGCAGACACAGACAUCUACAAUCAAGUGAAAAGGGUGUCCCAAUGUUCUACAUUUGAGGACCUCAUUGCUGCAACUCAACAGAUUAUUUGGCUAACACCGGGUGUCUUCGUCCACUGAGAAAGAUUGAGGACAAGGAACAGCUUGUUCGUGAUAUCAUCAUGUUUCAAGUUGUGCACCGGGUUGAAGCCCCAGUCCAAAGGUCCCAAGAGGGGCUUAAAACCCUUGGGGUUUUGGAGAAGCUCCAGAAGAACCCAGACAGCUUCCGCCCUCUAUUCUGCCACCAGCAAUCAGGACUGACUGCUGAGAUAAUGGAUGAUUUGUUCACCAUCCAUCUAU